ensembl:lncRNA
UUUCUCUUAGGCAGCAGUCCUCCUUCUCUCCUGGAUCACCAUCAUUCUUUGGGUGCCUUGCAGUUUUGAAAAUAUCCAGCUGGAAUAAUCACACUUACUCAGGGCCGUAUUGAUGUGAUGUUCUUCUGCUUCUCUGGCUGGGUCUGUGGGGAUGGUGUUCGCUCUGUGUUGUAGCAUCCUGAUGAUAUCUCGUUUGUAGCAUGGUUAUUUUGUUGGCUUCAAUCUAGUGGAAAAUUUUCCAACUGGACAUUUUCCAACUUGAAAAUGUUCUACACAGUGUUGAGAAUGUGUUUAUAAAAUACCAGUUAGGGAAAAACAUGAUAAUAGCGGGAGUUUAAGACAAGCAAGGGAAGAACACUACUGUCAAUAGGAUUUCACAAGGAGGACGUUGAACAAAAUGUGCUCAUUUGCAAAACAUGCCGUAAAAUUGUUGCCCCCAAACUAUUGACGCAAAAGGUAGCAGUACAACAAUUUUUUUCCACUGCAAAAUUAGGCUGUUUUUAAACUCCACAUGCGAACAUCUUCCCACACACACCAAAUUAAACAUUAAAUAAACCAGCUGUGAUUCCUGUGAAUGUUCUUUGUCAGUCGUUUUUAUAGUCACUAUCUAGAAUUUUGUUUUCAUUUUUUUUGUAAUUUAAGGUCAUCAAAUUUUUAUUUUACUAUUUUUAUAUGUUAUAUGCACAAAAGAGCACAGUUUUAAUGUCAGGUUGUUAUUUUGUCUUACUAAUUAUUGCUUGAUGUUCUUUGUUAUUACAGUGAUCUUUUGUUUGUUUAAGGUCUGGAUCUAGUUCUAGAAUUUCAAUUCAGUUUGAUUUUUUGUAUUCUGGGCUCAAAUUGAGAGGGAAGGAUUCAUGGCAGCUAACUAAAACUAUUUGUUUAUUUGCAAUCUCUUGUUGAAGACCAUGAAAAUAAUAUAUUACUUUUAGUCAAUUUGUUUUUUUUUCUGUAAUUGUACUUAUAUUUAAUAUUGUGGCAUACUGGUUCUCAUGGGUUGACAGAGCUGGUUCAUUGCUAUUUAAUUUGAUACAUUUUGAUAUUUUUUUUAUAAAACAAUUUCCUUUCAAAAAACUGACAGUAGGGUGAAAACACAAUAAAAUGUCUUUGUUCAGCAGGUCAAUCAGCUAAAUAUAAACUGAUAUUUAGGGGCACUUAAUUAAACGGAGUUAUGACUUUCAUUCAACCUUUAUUACAUUUGAUAUUUUUAGAAUGUUUUUUACAGUUUUUUGUCACAUUUACCAUGAAGAAAAAUUUGUCAUUGAAGAUGUUUGCCACAUUUAAUCAGAUUUGAUUGAUUAAUUGACAAAUCAACA